CUAUGACCUGAUUAUAUUUAUACGCAGUUUUCCAAAACCCUAGAGCCUUCAUCUCCAUUUUCCUUCAUCUUUAAUCUCCUCAUUCUUCUCCUUCACGUUGCUUACAGAACCUCUUCCUGAUGUUCAUCUUCUCCUUCUAAUUCAACUCCUGUAAUCCAUCUGGUGGUUCACUCUAUCAACAAACCCUAAUGAAUCCACCCAUAAAUAACAUGCCAAUCAAUCCGUUCUUUUAAUUUCUUCACUCCUUUUUCAAACCCUAAAAACUCUGGUGGCACAUACCUGCACUGUGAUUCUUUCUAACCCUAACGGAGGCAAGAAACAGAUCCAACAAUGGAGAAGUACAUAGUACGAUAGCAUUUCCGUGGCACUUCAACCGCCUCUUCCUCUCACUGUCAUGGUCGUCAUCUCUCCUAUAGACGCCAUUGAAUCGAGGAUAAAUCACUGACAUCAGAAGAAACGGAAUUUGAUUUAAUCGUCUGUGGCUGAGGCCUGAGGAUUUGUUACGGCGGAGGUAGCGUGUUGUGGGCAUGAACAAUACAAUGAAAUUGGAGUAUCCAAAUCGGUUUGAAUUUGUGUCCAAGCAGAGAUAUAUACGCGUUCUGGGAUCCUUUUUGUUUAUGUUGAUGCGGCCAAAUUCGUGUUAACUUGGCCGAGUCCAUGUAUAUAUACGCUGCAACAUCAUCUAAUCGUCAUUUAAGGGUUGUGGAGUUAAACCUUGGAUCACUUCAUUCAUAAAUUCAUGUUAACUUGGCCGAGUCCAUGAUAACCGCGUCUCCUUAGAAUCCGACGACCAGGAUGACAAAUCCGGGAUUGAACAUUCAAGAAGCACAUGCUUUUUCCUCGGCUGGUGGCUUCUUAUUGGAUGUAUUUGUUGUUGAUGGCCUCAUGAGGUCUAAUCUUAGUUGUCUUGAGCAAUGUGUUUGAAUUUUGAAAACAUUGGUACAAUGAUCUGUUAUUGGCAACUUUUAGGAAAUUGAAAAGCUCAAAAAUGCAAUAGAGAAUGAUAUAUUGAAGGCUAGGGGAGGCUCAUAGUGGUAAAAAUUCUUCAUCCACUAAAUGCAGAAGUAUUCCAACAUCAAGUGACCUUGUGCCCUCAAAUGAUUAUGUAAAAGUACCUACUUAUGGAACUGAGGUAUUGGAAAUUGAUGCCAAGCUGCUGAAAUUCUUAUAGAGGGAUGUUGAAUAAACGAUACUGGUAACAUCGUUUUAAUAUGAUAAAUAUUUAGAGAUUAUGAUUAUUUGUAUAUAUACGUGAGUUAUAUUUGUAAUCUCACUUCAUUAUUACUUUAUUUAAUAUGAAACUUUUUUUUUAAUCUAUACAGUAAUGACCGGAAACACUUAAUGUCAAAAUAAUGGAUGUAGGCUUUACGUUUACAUUUCGGAUGGGUCACUUUGUUUGUCCGAAAUGUUUAAGAAAGAUGAUUUCAGGAUUAUGAUUAUAAUCGUUUUAACUAUAAUAAGAAAGUUUAUGUCAAACUAUUAUUUCUCUGCACCACCGUCCUCACUUACUUGACUCUUAGGAAGACAACCUCUAGAGGAUCCGAGGUAACAGUUGCAUGAAUGGCGUAUUUUCCUUUUUUAUUUUGAUCACUUUGUUUUAAAUAGAUGUGCUUUUUAAGUGGGAGUUAAUGUUUUUAUUUCUAUAGACAUUGUUGUCGAAUUAGAUAUCCCAUUAGUGAAGAAAAGUUCAAGUGAACCUAUAUUCAAGCGACCACGCGCGUCUCCAAACACCAUCGCCAUUACCGAAAUUUAAGAAGGGACUCGAUUUACUAAGAGAAAUGUUUUGGCAACUCGAAGGAUAUGCAUUUUAAAGGGAUUCGACUGUCUUUAAAUUGUAUUUCCACUUUGUCACUAAUUCAUGCAACAUACCACUUUGUUUGUAUUUUUUUUAUUUGCAUACUUAAUAUUUAUCUAAUUAAUUUUUCCCAGCCCGGGAAGCAAUCCCGGGUGAUAACCUAGUAA